CGUGUAGGCUGACCGGAAAGUCGGGCGUGAAAUCCCUGGGCUCAACCCAGGAACUGCACUCGAAACUCCCGGUCUUGAGUGGUGGAGAGGGAAGUGGAAUUCCUGGUGUAGAGGUGAAAUUCGUAGAUAUCAGGAGGAACACCAGUGGCGAAGGCGGCUUCCUGGACACCAACUGACGCUGAGACGCGAAAGCGUGGGGAGCAAACA
rnacentral:rRNA from 1 species